UUCAUGGAGAGUUUGAUCCUGGCUCAGGACGAACGCUGGCGGCGUGCCUAAUACAUGCAAGUCGAGCGAAUCUUGAGGUGCUUGCACCUCUUGGUUAGCGGCGGACGGGUGAGUAACACGUGGGCAACCUGCCUGUAAGACUGGGAUAACAUCGGGAAACCGAUGCUAAUACCGGAUAAUCCUUUUCCUCUCAUGAGGRAAAGCUGAAAGUCGGCUUCUCGCUGACACUUACAGAUGGGCCCGCGGCGCAUUAGCUAGUUGGUGAGGUAACGGCUCACCAAGGCGACGAUGCGUAGCCGACCUGAGAGGGUGAUCGGCCACACUGGGACUGAGACACGGCCCAGACUCCUACGGGAGGCAGCAGUAGGGAAUCUUCCGCAAUGGACGAAAGUCUGACGGAGCAACGCCGCGUGAACGAUGAAGGCCUUCGGGUCGUAAAGUUCUGUUGUUAGGGAAGAACAAGUAUCGGAGUAACUGCCGGUACCU
rnacentral:ncRNA from 1 species